AUGAUCUCCAUACCGACACGUCUACUGCUGCUGCUAACAGCUGCAUCCUGUGUUGAAUGUAUUGAGCUGGUUCAGCCUGCUGCCAUGGCUGUUAAACCUGGACAGUCUUUCUCCAUCACCUGUAAGGUUACUGGAUAUUCAGCUGUGAGUGCCUGUACUAACUGGAUACGACACUCAGCAGGAAAAGCGCCAGAAUGGAUAGGAUAUUUCUGCAGUACGAGCAAUACUGGGGCCAAAGACUCACUAAAGAGCAAGAUCAGCUUCACUGCAGACUCGUCCAGCAACACAGUGCUUUUACAGGGUCAAAACUUCCAGCCUGAGGACACAGCUGUGUAUUACUGCGCUCGGUACACACACUGCUAUAAACUGCCAAGGGACCUGUACAAUAACCCUCUUAAUGCAUAA